rnacentral:lncRNA from 1 species
UUCUCAACUCCGUAAUUGUGGUGAUCUUGAAGCACUUGAUGAAAGGCUCCUGAGCAUGAUACGUGCCGCAUCUGUUCGACUUUCUCAAGAGGGUAAUUAAUGCUCUGGGUAGAAGAGACACCACUAAGACUCUGUCGCAUAUGGUUUCCUGGAUGGAAAAGUCCUCAUAAAUCUCAUGCCCAACAUUUUAAGUAAGCUGAAAUAUCUCUUAUAAUUAAUACUAGUUUCUGUGCACACAAUUUCACAUUUUCACCACUCUCCUACCCAUGGAUUUAGGUGGAGCUCGUCAUUGAUGAUAAUUAUAUGAAUCAUGUCGAGGUUCAGACUUCACUAUUAAAAUGUAUGUAUUUUUCACUAUACAGAGUGGCGGUAGUCUUGGUGGUCUUCAAGUCACAAAAUUCUUAUUCAU